rnacentral:rRNA from 1 species
CGCACCUUGCACCCUCAGGUAUUCCGGAGGGUAUGCCCGGUUGAGUGUCGAUGAAUAUACUCAACUCCAAUGUUUUGUCAAAGGUCUUGUCGACUCGUCCUGCCGGCCUAGCCGAGGCUGCUGUGACUGUUGCGAGGCUGAAGCAUUGGAGCUUGGACUUGAGCUCUGUUGGCCUUCCCGAGGUCGACUUGGUCUAGAAAUGCAUCAGCGAUGACGUCCCUUGGGUCCAUCUCGGCGUGAUAAGUUGAUCGUCGCAAAGGUCCUUGGGUUGGCUUCGCUCCUAAUCCGUCUUCGGACAGGCCUCUGACGUUUACACCUCAACUCGGGUAGGACUACCCGCUGAACUUAA